UGUUAGAGGUAAAAUCAUAAUAUUUUUUUGAGAUAUUAAUUAAAACAGGUAAAAAACUUUCUGAUUAAAUUUUUUUAGGCAAAUAUUUAACACACUUACAUUUAUAAGCAAAGUACAUGAAAAUUAUCUAUUCUACUCUUCCUAUUAUAAUCUAACAAAAAUGAACAAUUUUGUUUCUAAAUAAAUUAAAUAGCACUCUCGUAGUUGGGAAUGCAAAAUUUGUGAUGAUUUAACUGAGUUAAUAGUGACUCCAUUUCUUGCAUUUCGAAUGUCCAACAAAAACAAUAGCAUUCAACAAUGUCAUCUGAGGUAAGUUUGAUUCCUUGGCUUGUUAAGUUUGAAAUAGGUUUAGUGGUUUUUGUGUCGGCUUAGGAUUUCAAUCGAUUUUAGUGUUUGUUUGGUUUAAGGUUUGUAGGGUUAAGAGUUUCAGUCGAUUUGUGAUGAUUUAUUUUGCAAAUAGUCAUAUAUUUUGGCUGGAUUUUUGCCUUAUUGUGUUGUCAUCGACGUAGAAGAAAGCCAAAUUAUAGUCGCAAUCACAUUUGCAUUCGUAGUCACUUACAAUCGCAUUUGCAUUCACAGUCACUCACAAUCAUAUUCACAUUUGUAGUUCCUCACAUAUCAACUGUUCACAUAAUGGUUUUGUUUUGUUUACAUGGAUUAACAUUGCAAUGUUUGUUUUUUUUUUUCAGGGCAUUCUAGUUAAUCAUCAGGUUGGGGAAAGACGAUAUAAUGAUGCUUAUAGCUUUAGGGCUACUAUAAGUGUUCGAAGUUACGUAGAAACAGUUAAGCAUAUGAGGACUAACUUUAGUCUUGUGUAGAAAGAGAUUUAGGGAAAGCUGUUUUGGACAGUUUUUGGAUCUAGAAGUUCAUAAACAUAACUCGACUAUGAUGCAAUGUGUACUCUCCUAACAAGUUAACAGAAGGGUGCUAGGAGAGGUAUUUUGGUUUAGACUCAAUAGGGUGGACUAUAGAUUUGACCCUGUUGAGUUUGUUAUGAUAACGAGGUUGAAAUUUAGUAGGGAAAUGUAUAUGAGUGAUUACGUUAUGACAGGGAAAAAACAAUUGAGAGAGAGGUAUUUUUAGGUGUCAAACAUGUGUUGUAUGGUGAUCUGCACAAAGCUUUUAAACAAAUGGCAUGAGGGAACAAUGAUGAGCAUGUGAUAAAAAUAAUUGCUUUGUAUUUGCUCCAAUAUGGACUGAUAAGAUCAAAUAAUCGGAAAGUCAUAUUGAAACGUAUCCUCAGUCUAGUUGAUGAUUGAGAUGUGUUUAAUAUAUAUCUAUUGGGGACAAUUGUUAGGAGAAUAAUGACAGAGUGUAUGAGUCAGACAAUAGAGAAGAAGUAUGAUAAAAUUUUGAAAGCAUAUCCAUCAUAUAAAGAGGAUAUCCUAGUGUUAUCUUAAAGGAUGAUAAGAUAUACAAUGACAUUUCAGGUAACCUAAGUAUUAAAAUAACAGUUAUUUUGUUCUUACAUUUUAUGAAUGAUUAUGUACAACUACAAUGUAUUUUCAAUUUUAUAGUUGUGGAUAUAUAAAACUCUAAGCAAUUGAGGGGGUUUUGGAUUUGUAAUUCUAAAGAUAGUGUCCCUUGGAUGUUGAGAUAGAGAAGUUUUGAAAGCCUAGCAUAAGAGGAUGUUGAUCGCAUCUUUAGGGCUUUUCUGGAUGUUGUGACUCCUAUUUUAAUCUCGUCAAUGGUUAAUAAAGAAUUAUCAUGGUACAGAGAUGUUGUGGAUUACGUGGGUGACGAAGAAGAACUUGAUAAUGAUCAUACCCUCGUAAGAUCUCUUGUAGAAAUCCAAUCUCCUUAUUCACAACACCAUAAUACACUUAUACAUAGGCAUCGGAAGAGUGCACUUGUUUAUAGUCCUAUCACAUUAUCUCCUUAGUCGAUUGAAACAACACCCCUUAUAUAGCUCCAAUUGGAUCCGCAUCUAUGGUUGAAAACCAAGUUGAUCAACAUUGGGAGCUUCUCCAAGGGUUCAUGGAUAAAGUUGAUAAGUAUCUUGGAAACUUGGAUGAGCGCUAAACAUCGCUCAAAGAAAAAUUGGUAGAGCUCUAACACAUGUACUGUGCAACCCUAACAAACGAGGUAAGUUUUUCUUAAUGAUUAUUUAUUAUUUACAAUUCGUAAGAUUAUAGGCUAACCAUAAAAAUUAAUUGGUUAUAUUUUUUUUCUAUAAUAUAAGGUGAGUUAACUGAGGUCGUAAUUGAGUUAUCCAGCCAUAAGGAUGUAGUUCCCUAAGAGGCUACUACCUUUGCUUCUGAAACUCUAUUACAACAUCAAUCCGGUACUUGCUAGACAUUAUAAAAGAAAAGUCAUUCACUUCUAAGCGCGUACAUGGACCUAUUAAGAUAGCAGUGCACACGAGAUGUUAUCCAACUGUUGCAACCGUAAGUGGAAGUUGAUUAUAUGAUGGAGUUUUUAUAGUGUUAUGGGGACACAAAUGAAGAUGCCACAACAAUCACUUUUUUGAAUAGACAUUACCAAAAAAAAAAAGAAUGGUAGAGCACACCAUGUUAAGAUAACUAAUGACUACUGGACUAGGUAUGUGAUUUUGAACCCACACAAGAGAUUAUAUCUUUGUCAUAUUAUUAUAUUAUUAAUUACCUCAUUAUAUUUAUAAUAUUGUUGUUUCAAUAUUGAUAACUACUUGGUUGUGUUACGACAUACAUUCCCAUUGGCUAAAUGGACAUAUGUUGAAACAUCUUUUGAUGGGUGGUUGCCACGAGCAUUAAAGGAUUGGGAAGAGGUUGGAUCGGAUAGCUAUUAAUGGCCCUGAUUGUUACUAGACAUGUUCGAAGGAAUAAAUGAUCCAGCCCAAGAUCAGGGCUACCUCUCAUGGGCUUAUAUGGAUAAGGUAUACAUUACAAUCAAUUACGAUUCUCAACAUUGGGCAUGCAGUGAACUAGGCCUAAAUGCAUGGACUUUGAAUAUUUUUUACUCAUUAGCGAAUUUCUUUGAGUCUAUAGAGAGGUUCUCCAAGGCAAUGACACGAUACCAUUACCUCAUAUCUAUUAUUAGUGUGACUAGUUAUUAGGAGGUUAAGGGUGUAGAGCCAAAGAUGAAGCCAUUGAUGAUCGGAUGAUGUACCCAUGUACCCCAACAGGCCAUAGGAUCCAACGCUUAUGGAUAUUCAUAAUCUAGAUUUUAAAGUACCUUGCCACAGGACAUCGAUUUGAUUUUUUUGUUAAAAAAGGCCACCACAAUGCACAAUAUAGUGGCAUCCAAGAUUUGGAAGCGUGAUGACAAUUCACACUGUAGAUGAUUGUUAUUUAUAUUAUAUUACUUGAUUGAAUUAUAUUGUUAUUUA